rnacentral:lncRNA from 1 species
GGAAGCUGUUUGAGUUGGAGCUUUGCCCACGUUUCCCUAACCCACCUUGUGCACCUCCUUCCACCCUGUUUUCACUUGAUAUGUUUAGGAGACAGAAACAAAAAUAAGUUCUUAACAAAAAGUCUGACCAAGAAGAGUUCAAGGGGCAGAUGCCAGGAAAACAGCAGAAGCAGCACAUUCAGUUGGUUUCUGUCUGGGUGCAGGUCCCAACAAACAGGGCAGAUACCAGUGGCAAGAAGCCGCUGUGCAGCCACACCAGUUUGUACAAUCCUGUGUACAAGGCCAACUGCUCGGACAUCAUGAAGCUCCCGGUGUGGACCACAAACAGGGCUGGCAAGAAUCCAGGCUGACCGCUCUGAAUUCUCCCAAAAUUGCUUGGGAUGGCAUUAUUAUUUCCUCAGUCAACAGACGCAAAUCUCACCACCACUUCCAGCCCCGCCCCAUCCACGUUCAGCUCACUCUCCACCCAGCAAGGAGAUGAACUAAGCAGCACAGGGACAGUCAAUGGAGGACACAUACCAAAUAACGUAAAGAUCACUACACCUGAAUUUGCAUAACAAUCUGUGAGAGUUUAGAAAAAGUACUUAAAAUCU